rnacentral:rRNA from 1 species
AUACGGAGGGGGUUAGCGUUGUUCGGAAUUACUGGGCGUAAAGCGCACGUAGGCGGACUGGAAAGUUGGGGGUGAAAUCCCGGGGCUCAACCCCGGAACUGCCUCCAAAACUUCCAAUCUAGAGAUCGAGAGAGGUGAGUGGAAUUCCAAGUGUAGAGGUGAAAUUCGUAGAUAUUUGGAGGAACACCAGUGGCGAAGGCGGCUCACUGGCUCGAUACUGACGCUGAGGUGCGAAAGCGUGGGGAACAAACAGGAUUAGAUACCCCAGUAGUCC